GACGAAGGUGGCGAGCGUUGUUCGGAAUCACUGGGCAUAAAGCGCACGUAGGUGGCGCCGUAAGUCGGAUGUGAAAUCCCUCGGCCCAACCGAGGAACUGCGUCCGAUACUGCGGUGCUUGAGGGUCAAAGGGGUGCAUGGAAUUCCCGGUGUAGCGGUGAAAUGCGUAGAGAUCGGGAGGAACAUCAGUGGCGAAGGCGACCCUCUGGACCAGCACUGACGCUGAGGCACGAAAGCGUGGGGAGCAAACAGG
rnacentral:rRNA from 1 species